rnacentral:rRNA from 1 species
AGUGAACGCUGGCGGCAGGCCUAACACAUGCAAGUUGAGCGGCAGCGCGGGGGCAACCCUGGCGGCGAGCGGCGGACGGGUGAGGAAUUCGUCGGAAUCUGCCUUUUUGUGGGGGAUAACGUAGGGAAACUUACGCUAAUACCGCAUACGUCCUACGGGAGAAAGUGGGGGACCGCAAGGCCUCACGCAGAAAGAUGAGCCGACGACCGAUUAGCUAGUUGGUGGGGUAAAGGCCCACCAAGGCGACGAUCGGUAGCUGGUCUGAGAGGAUGAUCAGCCACACUGGGACUGAGACACGGCCCAGACUCCUACGGGAGGCAGCAGUGGGGAAUAUUGGACAAUGGGCGCAAGCCUGAUCCAGCCAUGCCGCGUGUGUGAAGAAGGCCUUCGGGUUGUAAAGCACUUUUGUCCGGAAAGAAAUCCCUGGAGCUAAUACCUUCGGGGGAUGACGGUACCGGAAGAAUAAGCACCGGCUAACUUCGUG